UGAACCUGCGGAAGGAUCAUUACCGAGUGAGGGCCCUCUGGGUCCAACCUCCCACCCGUGUCUAUCGUACCUUGUUGCUUCGGCGGGCCCGCCGUUUCGACGGCCGCCGGGGAGGCCCUGCGCCCCCGGGCCCGCGCCCGCCGAAGACCCCAACAUGAACGCUGUUCUGAAAGUAUGCAGUCUGAGUUGAUUAUCGUAAUCAGUUAAAACUUUCAACAACGGAUCUCUUGGUUCCGGCAUCGAUGAAGAACGCAGCGAAAUGCGAUAAGUAAUGUGAAUUGCAGAAUUCAGUGAAUCAUCGAGUCUUUGAACGCACAUUGCGCCCCCUGGUAUUCCGGGGGGCAUGCCUGUCCGAGCGUCAUUGCUGCCCUCAAGCACGGCUUGUGUGUUGGGCCCCCGUCCCCCUCUCCCGGGGGACGGGCCCGAAAGGCAGCGGCGGCACCGCGUCCGGUCCUCGAGCGUAUGGGGCUUUGUCACCUGCUCUGUAGGCCCGGCCGGCGCCAGCCGACACCCAACUUUAUUUUUCUAAGGUUGACCUCGGAUCAGGUAGGGAUACCCGCUG
rnacentral:rRNA from 1 species